rnacentral:lncRNA from 1 species
GCUGACAACCACCAGAAGCUGGGAGAGAGGCACGGAAAAGAUUCUCCCUCAGAGCCUCAGAAGGAACCCACUGGACUAACACCUUGACUUUGGAUUUCUGGCUGCUGGGACAAUGACGGACUGACAUGUUCCUCCGGCUCUGCCACACCCAUCAGAUGGCAGGUGGGGAGCAGAUUAAGACAUGGGCAUUCGCAGGGUGCACAGAACGCUGGCUUACAAACACCUCCUCUCAUAGGCAUGCAGGGUCUCGCUGUGUCACAGAAGCUGGAAUGCAGUGAUGCAAUCUUGGCUCACUGCAACCUCCACGUCCUGGGUUCAAGCUAUUCUCCUACCUCAGCUUCCUGAGUAGCUGGGACUAUGGACAUGUGCCACUACAGCUGGAUAAUUUUUGUAUUUUUAGUAGAGAUGGGGUUUCAGCAUGUUGACCAGGCUGGUGUUGAACUCCUGACCUCAGGAGCACCCAGAUUCAAAAAGCAAGUUCUUAGAGACCUACAAAGCGGCUUAGACUCCCACACAAUAAUAGUGGGAGAUUUUAACACCCCACUGUCAAUAUUAGAAAGAUCAACGAGACAGAAAAUUAACAAGGAUAUUCAGGACUUGAACUCAGCUCUGGACUAAGCGGACCUAAUAGACAUCUACAGAGCUCUCCACCCCAUCACAAACUUAAUCCAUCACAUAAAUACCAAAUACAUUCUUCUCAGCACCUCAUCACACUUAUUCUAAAAUUGACCACAUAAUUGGAAGUUAAACACUCCUCAGCAAAUG